AACGAACGCUGGCGGCAUGCCUAACACAUGCAAGUCGAACGAACCCUUCGGGGUUAGUGGCGCACGGGUGCGUAACGCGUGGGAAUCUGCCCUUUGCUUCGGAAUAACUCAGGGAAACUUGUGCUAAUACCGGAUGAUGUCUUCGGACCAAAGAUUUAUCGGCAAGGGAUGAGCCCGCGUAGGAUUAGGUAGUUGGUGGGGUAAAGGCCUACCAAGCCGACGAUCCUUAGCUGGUCUGAGAGGAUGAUCAGCCACACUGGGACUGAGACACGGCCCAGACUCCUACGGGAGGCAGCAGUGGGGAAUAGUGGACAAUGGGCGCAAGCCUGAUCCAGCAAUGCCGCGUGAGUGAUGAAGGCCCUCGGGUCGUAAAGCUCUUUUACCAGGGAUGAUAAUGACAGUACCUGGAGAAUAAGCUCCGGCUAACUCCGUG
rnacentral:rRNA from 1 species